rnacentral:rRNA from 1 species
CUUAACACAUGCAAGUCGAGGGGCAGCAUGGUCUUAGCUUGCUAAGACUGAUGGCGACCGGCGCACGGGUGAGUAACACGUAUCCAACCUGCCGUCUACUCUUGGACAGCCUUCUGAAAGGAAGAUUAAUACAAGAUGGCAUCAUGAGUCCGCAUGUUCACAUGAUUAAAGGUAUUCCGGUAGACGAUGGGGAUGCGUUCCAUUAGAUAGUAGGCGGGGUAACGGCCCACCUAGUCUUCGAUGGAUAGGGGUUCUGAGAGGAAGGUCCCCCACAUUGGAACUGAGACACGGUCCAAACUCCUACGGGAGGCAGCAGUGAGGAAUAUUGGUCAAUGGGCGAGAGCCUGAACCAGCCAAGUAGCGUGAAGGAUGACUGCCCUAUGGGUUGUAAACUUCUUUUAUAAAGGAAUAAAGUCGGGUAUGGAUACCCGUUUGCAUGUACUUUAUGAAUAAGGAUCGGCUAACUCCGUGCCAGCAGCCGCGGUGAUACGGAGGAUCCGAGCGUUAUCCGGAUUUAUUGGGUUUAAAGGGAGCGUAGAUGGAUGUUUAAGUCAGUUGUGAAAGUUUGCGGCUCAACCGUAAAAUUGCAGUUGAUACUGGAUAUCUUGAGUGCAGUUGAGGCAGGCGGAAUUCGUGGUGUAGCGGUGAAAUGCUUAGAUAUCACGAAGAACUCCGAUUGCGAAGGCAGCCUGCUAAGCUGCAACUGACAUUGAGGCUCGAAAGUGUGGGUAUCAAACAGGAUUAGAUACCCUGGUAGUCCACACGGUAAACGAUGAAUACUCGCUGUUUGCGAUAUACUGCAAGCGGCCAAGCGAAAGCGUUAAGUAUUCCACCUGGGGAGUACGCCGGCAACGGUGAAACUCAAAGGAAUUGACGGGGGCCCGCACAAGCGGAGGAACAUGUGGUUUAAUUCGAUGAUACGCGAGGAACCUUACCCGGGCUUAAAUUGCAGAUGAAUUACGGUGAAAGCCGUAAGCCGCAAGGCAUCUGUGAAGGUGCUGCAUGGUUGUCGUCAGCUCGUGCCGUGAGGUGUCGGCUUAAGUGCCAUAACGAGCGCAACCCUUGUUGUCAGUUACUAACAGGCUCCGCUGAGGACUCUGACAAGACUGCCAUCGUAAGGUGUGAGGAAGGUGGGGAUGACGUCAAAUCAGCACGGCCCUUACGUCCGGGGCUACACACGUGUUACAAUGGGGGGUACAGAGGGCCGCUACCACGCGAGUGGAUGCCAAUCCCCAAAACCUCUCUCAGUUCGGACUGGAGUCUGCAACCCGACUCCACGAAGCUGGAUUCGCUAGUAAUCGCGCAUCAGCCACGGCGCGGUGAAUACGUUCCCGGGCCUUGUACACACCGCCCGUCAAGCCAUGGGAGCCGGGGGUACCUGAAGUGCGUAACCGCGAGGAGCGCCCUAGGGUAAAACUGGUGACUGGGGCUAAGUCGUA